rnacentral:SRP_RNA from 1 species
CCCGUCGGCCCCCGCGACGAUAGGCCGAAAACCCCGCCAGGCCCGGAAGGGAGCAACGGUAUCGGCCGAUUCGGGUGCCGGGGCAAACCGGC